CGGAGGGGGCGAGCGUUAUUCGGAAUUAUUGGGCGUAAAGGGCGCGUAGGCGGCUCGAUAAGUCAAAGGUGAAAUCCCUCGGCUCAACUGAGGAACUGCCUUUGAAACUGUCGAGCUCGAGUCCGGGAGGGGGUAGCGGAAUUCCCAGUGUAGCGGUGAAAUGCGUAGAUAUUGGGAGGAACACCAGUGGCGAAAGCGGCUACCUGGACCGGAACUGACGCUGAUGCGCGAAAGCGUGGGUAGCAAACAGGAUUAGAUACCCUGGUAGUCCACGCUGUAAACGAUGGGUGCUCGGUGUCGCGGGUAUCGACCCCUGCGGUGCCUUAGCUAACGCGUUAAGCACCCCGCCUGGGGAGUACGGUCGCAAGGCUG
rnacentral:rRNA from 1 species